AUUUAUAUAAUAUAAAAAGUAUAUUUGACUUCCAAUCAUAAAGUCUAUUAUUAAUAGUAUAAAUA
rnacentral:tRNA from 1 species